CGUAUGGAGCAAGCGUUAUCCGGAUUCAUUGGGCGUAAAGCGCGCGUAGGCGGAUUGUUAAGUCGGGUCUGUUAAAUCCCAGAGCUCAACUCUGGGCCGCAGUCGAUACUGGCAGUCUUGAGUACGGUAGAGGAAAGUGGAAUUCCCGGUGUAGCGGUGGAAUGCGCAGAUAUCGGGAAGAACACCGGUGGCGAAGGCGGCUUUCUGGGCCGUUACUGACGCUGAGGCGCGAAAGCUAGGGGGAGCGAACAGGAUU
rnacentral:rRNA from 1 species